AUUGAACGCUGGCGGCAGGCCUAACACAUGCAAGUCGAACGAGUGGCGGACGGGUGAGUAAUGUAUCGGAACGAGCCUGGUGGCGGGGGAUAACUACUGGCAACGGUAGCUAAUACCGCAUACCAUAAGAUGUGCCCAGAUCGGCAUAGCUAGUUGGUGGGGUAAAGGCUCACCAAGGCAAGUAUCCGUAGCUGGUCUGACAGGAGGACCAGCCACACUGGAACUGAGACACGGCCCAGACUCUUACGGGAGGCAGCAGUGGGGAAUUUGGCACAAUGGGCGAAAUCCGGAUGCAGCCAUUCCGCGUGUAUGAGGAAGGCCUUCGGGUUGUAAAGUACGUUCAGCGGGGAGGCGUUACCCGAAGAAUAAGCACCGGCUAACUACGUGCCAGCAGCCGCGGUAAUAC
rnacentral:rRNA from 1 species